rnacentral:rRNA from 1 species
AUUGAACGCUGGCGGCAGGCUUAACAUAUGCAAGUCGAGCGAGCGGCGGACGGGUGAGUAAUGUCUGGGAAACUGCCUUAUGGAGGGGGAUAACUACUGGAAACGGCAGCUAAUACCGCAUACCAUCAGAUGUGCUCAGAUUGGAUUAGCUAGUAGGUGGGGUAUUGGCUCUCCUAGGCGACGAUCCCUAGCUGGUCUGAGAGGAUGACCAGCCACACGGUAACUAGGACACAGUCCAUACUCCUACGGGAGGCAGCGAGGGGAAAUAUUGCACAAUGGGCACAAGCCUGAUGCAGCCAUGCCGCGUGUGUGAGGAAGACCUUCGGGUUGUAAAGCACUUUCAGCGAGGAGGCGUUACUCGCAGCAGAAGCACCGGCUAACUCCGUGCCAGCAGCCGCGGUAAUUC